rnacentral:lncRNA from 1 species
GUUUUUUUUUUUUUUUCCCUCUAACGUGGUUGUUGUAUGUUUAAUCAAAAUUAAUGUAUUUAUCUUCUUUUGUACUGGAAUAAUAAAAAGAAUGGAGUCUGUCCUACAUUACUUUGUUUCAGAAGAUGUAUUAGAGUGGGCGCAAAAGGUUCAAGUAGUCUCCAUACGAAAUCUAAAUAUGUAAGCUAUCUUAUGAUUAUUACUAUUAUUAUUUUUUACUCAAUAUCUUAUUUCUUUCAGCUUUGUAUUUAUUGUAAAUGUUGAUUCAUUGAGUGCUUAAUAAUUUAACUUAGUUCAAGUUUGACACAAACUAUUUAAUAGAUUAAUUUAAAGCGUUUGGAAUGCAAAAUUUUUGCAAGUGAAUUAAGAUUGAGUAUGUGCUUGUAAUCUUUUGAUUAUAUUGUUAGUUUGAAGUGACAUAUGAUCAAAUUGGUGAAAUUGUUUUGGGAAAAAUCUUUAAUUUUGUAAAGAUUAAAAAUGACAGGUACCUUCAAAGUCAUCAUCUACUACAAUAUUGACUCAACAAAGCGAGUAUAAAAAAUAAAAAUCAAGAAAUAAAAUAUAAAAUCUAAGGAAGUUGAAGCAUUCAUGAAACAAUUGUGCUUUACAUAUUUCUCCUUUUGUAUAAUGUUACUUUUAUUUUUCUUCUACAAUGUAAUCUUAUUUUUAGACUAUUGAUUUUUUUUUCACAUUUUAGAUUUCUUUGUCAUUAAAUUUUGAUUUCGAUGACUACAUAUUGUUAUUAAAAUUUAUGUGAGACUAUAUAAAUUGCCUUUAUAACAAAUUUGAGACUAAAUUAAUUACCAAUUAUAUUUGCAAAAAUUGUCACAAAUGACACCUACUUGAGACGAUUACGUAUCGUCGCAAUAUGUAAACUUCAACAAUAGAAAAAUAACAUUGCUAAUUGUAUAUUCAAACCUCUAAAAUUACAUUUUUUAAUAAUUAUUGAGACUUUAUUUGCAUACUCUUGAGACAAAUAUUAUAGUCACUAUAAAUCACCUACUCUAACAAAUCUGAAGUGUCAUUAAUUGCAUUUUUGAAUCGCUAAUUUGACCAUUUUUAAUACUAUUUGUGACAAUUUUAACUUAAUUUUAAGACAUUGAUGACAAUGAUUUUUGUCACAAAAACAUAUCUUUAAUAUGAAGAAAAUAAUUUUGGUCACUAGAACUUUUUAAGACGGUCUUUCUACGACUAACGCGUGACGAUAUAUUUUUAGUUACAAAAAUAUAAGAUGACUAAUUUGUUAUUUUUAGUGACUAAAUUUUUUGUAAUAAAUAUCAAUUUUCUUGUAGUGAUUAAAAAUUUAUUUUGCAAUCAUGCUUUAUCAUACUAUAAAAUCAUAAUAAACUAUGAAAAUAAAUUUUGUAUAUUCCACUCAGAGUGACAAUGUUCAAACUCAGGUAUCGUCAACGUCUACAGGUUGAUUCUCAUUCGCAAGUCCUUCUAAUUCAAGGAAAUGACAUAAUUAUUAUCCGUAAAUGUGAAAUGCAAUCAAUGUUAUGCAUAUAAAACUCAAAACAAUCAUCUAUCCCUGUUAUACAACUCUCGAUUCUAUGAAAUUACUGAAAUACCCCUACCUCUAGAAAUUGCUAAAACACUCCUAAAACAUAAAUUACCCCUGAAAUGACGAAUUACUAAACUGCCCUCAAUGAUAGCGGGGAUGUAGUCGUCGACUCUCAUGCUUCUGAUUGGUACCUCCCUUGGCCGGUAAGGUUACUGGAAAAUAAAGAUAACGGCAGGUCAGGUUCAUGGGUUAUCAGGUCAGUUUCAGGUCGAGUUUGAUAGCUUUCUCUCUGUCCCCCCUCAUUCUCAAUUUAUAGAAUUGAUUCCUUCUUAUUUUUUUUUAAAGCAUAAUACAAAUUAGGCUAAUGGUUGUGCUCGGGUUUUCUUGAUUCGUUUCAUGACGAGUUUAAACAAAUUCAAACACAGCCCAUUCAUUAAACAAAUAAAAUUUAAUCAUCCACACCCAUAAUUAAUGUUAGAUAAUUGAGUUGCAUCAACUUCGCCAAUAACAAUUUGUAAUAAGUCCGACAACUUUAAAAUUAAUGUCAAAGAGAAAAAAUUAAUAAUACACAAAUAGAAAAAUUAAAGUGCAUAUGUUACAAAGGUUUUGGUCCAUUGUCCUUAGUUACCGUUAUUGGUAUAACCAAACAACUAUUUGUGUUGUGCACACCUAUUGAUGAUUAUUAUGGGCUAAAGUACUCUGAUUGAAUUAUUCACAGGGCCACUGAGAUUACAAGUGAUUUAUUGAAUUACUGGCCAGGUCAUCAGGAUUACAGAUGACAUAUUGAACUACUAGCUAGGUCACCAAGGGUACAAGUGACUUAUUAAACUACUGGCGGGGUCACCAGGAGCAUGACAUACCAGGAGUAUAAGUGGCACUAUGUAACAUUAAAAAAAAUGAACAAAUGAAAGGUUUAUUGAUAAAUAAUUUCUUAAAUGAUUAUUUAUUGAAAACGAUUAUUACACUAUGACUUAACUGAUUAUGAGUUUUGUCAUAUGUAUAUGUUAGAUAUAAAAUGAUCACAAGUUUCUAA